GCACAAUUAAACAAAUACUCACCAGUUGAGGCACAGAACAGAAUAACUGAAUGAAGAUCCAUUGAUUGUGUUCACUCUGAGAAGACUCAGAUUGAAUCCUUUCAACCACGGUCUCUGUCAAACACAUUAGAUCAUGUCAGAUCUUUGAACACUGAGUCCCUCCUCUCUGAGCAACAUUAUGCCUGCAUAAGUUCACUUCUGUUGUUCACUGCUGCAAGUCUUACUGAAUGUCUGAGAACACUGCCAUCUUGUGGCACAUUAUACCUACACUAUGUGUUACACAUGAUAAUGCUUUAGAACUUAAACUAUAAGCUACUUUUGUACGGAUUUGAUGUAAUUAACAAUACACUUUUGAAUUUCAUAUUUAUUUAAAUGUUUACUUAUUUACAGUUUUGCACAUGUAAACUUGAAUUCAGUAGCUUUUUAUCAAAUUAUUUACCUAUUAAAUCUAUUUUAAUCUAUUAUAAAUAUUAAUCACAACUACAGUUUACAGUUGCUCUCUUAGUCUUUGUCUCUGUGUAUCCUUCUUUUUUUUAAGGACUUGAUUUGAGAUGUAAAAAGAAACUCAAAAGCCAUGAAAAUAAACCCAGAAGACUGAGCGAUAAUAUCAAAUAGGUUGGAUGCUGUUGGAGAGUCAGAAGAGCCACGAACUCAACAGGAGUGAUACUGAAGACACUUCAUUUGAAGAACUACAAAUAUUGCUAAUAUUGAAUAAGGGUUUUUGUAGAGAGCUGAUGUGUUUCCUGUCACUGUGGGCACCAGAGCACAGUAGUACAGAGCAGAGUCUGAUACAGCAGCAGAAGAUAUCUCCAGAUCCACAUAUUGACUUUUCGAAAUGUUAACAGAGAAUCUUGGAUCUACAUCAGACUGCUGAGCUUCUUUUGCAUUGCUGUAGGUGAGUACAAGAAAUUCAGGUUUUGAUCUUCCAUACUGACGGUACCAGUGGAGAUAAUCUGUACGUCCAGAAGCAGAAUAACUACAGGAUAAUGUAACACUUGAACCCUCCUCAGAAAAAACAUCAAGCUGUUCUGGUUUGAUGACAUUUCCAAAGACAGCAGCUGAAAAGGAAAAUUAAUUGGUUACUUUUUAGUGAACAGUUUUGAGAAUGUAUGUUAUUAUGUAAAUAAAUACCAGCUGAGACACAGAGCAGAAUAACUGAAUGAAGAUCCAUUGUACAAGUGUUCACUCUGAGAAGAGUCAGACUGAAUUGAUUCAAUGAUUGAGUCCCUCCUCCCUCAUGUUAUAGCUCAAUUCAGACACUGAGAAGAGAAGAAAGAUCUAAUCACAUGAUCAAUUUUUACAACUGUAUUAUUAAUCUGUGAACAUUAUUAAGGAAUAUGAUUGAAAAAAGUUAUUGUAAUAGUUAUUGUAAAAAAUUAUUACUAUUUGCCAGAGUGUGGCCGCUUUAAUUAAAAUGAUAUUUGACAGUAAUGAGGGAAGUGGUUUACUGUUUUAAAGUUUUUCCUCCAUCAGAUUCAGAAACAUUUUCAAUGUCAUUUUGGGCCUGACUCACAACAGUGUAGCAUCAUGUGAAACACAUUUUUCUCUCCAUCAGUCUUAAAUUAUAGAUCAUUCUAAUUUGGUAAUUCUUUAAAACAAAAUCAGAUGAAACACAUACUUGUUUACAUCAUGUUACAUAAUCCAGUUGUUCACAUGUUUUAAAGACAAUUAUACUGUGCACAGC
rnacentral:lncRNA from 1 species